AACGAACGCUGGCGGCGUGCCUAACACAUGCAAGUCGAACGAGAAAGUCCUUCGGGAUGAGUAUAGUGGCGCACGGGUGAGUAACACGUAGGUGACCUGCCUAUUUGUGGGGGAUAACCCGGAGAAAUCCGGGCUAAUACCGCAUACGAACAUCGGACUUGAACGCUGAUGUUGAAAGAAUGCCUCUACUUGUAAGCAUUCGCAAAUAGAUGGGCCUGCGGAACAUUAGUUUGAUGGUGGGGUAAUGGCCUACCAUGACUACGAUGUUUAGCGGAUCUGAGAGGAUGAUCCGUCACACUGGAACUGAGACACGGUCCAGACUCCUACGGGAGGCAGCAGUGGGGAAUAUUGCGCAAUGGGGGAAACCCUGACGCAGCAACGCCGUGUGAGUGAGGAAGGCCCUCGGGUUGUAAAACUCUGUCAAGGUGGAAGAAUGGCCUACGUUCUAAUAGGGCGUAGGUUUGACGGUACACCUAGAGGAAGCACCGGCUAACUUCGUGCCG
rnacentral:rRNA from 1 species